UAUCCGUUCAGUGGCGGACGGGUGCGUAACACGUGAACAAUCUGCCCGGAAGAGGGGGAUAGCCCAGGGAAACUUGGAUUAAUACCCCGUGUGGCACAGGCUGGCAUCAGUCUGUUGCGGAAGGUGCUGAAAGGUGCCGCUUCCGGAUGAGUUCGCGGCCUAUCAGCUAGUUGGCGGGGUAACGGCCCACCAAGGCAACGACGGGUAGCUGGUCUGAGAGGAUGACCAGCCACACUGGAACUGAGACACGGUCCAGACACCUACGGGUGGCAGCAGUCGAGAAUCAUUCACAAUGGGCGAAAGCCUGAUGGUGUGACGCCGCGUGGAGGAUGAAGGUCUUCGGAUUGUAAACUCCUGUCAAGUGAGAGUAAAGCCGGGCGUUAACUGCGAGCCGGUUUGAGAGUAUCACUAGAGGAAGGGACGGCUAACUUCGUGCCAGCAGCCGCGGUAAUACGAAGGUCCCGAGCGUUGUUCGGAAUCACUGGGCGUAAAGGGAGCG
rnacentral:rRNA from 1 species